CCACAACUGGGGGAUAGCCCGGCGAAAGCUGGGGUAAACCCGCAUGGUCCCAAGGAGUCACCUGGUUUUUUGGGUAAACAUUUAUGGGUUGUGGAGGGGCUUGCGUCUGAUUAGUUAGUUGGCAGGGUAACGGCCUACCAAGGCGAUGAUCAGUAGGGGUUCUGAGAGGAUUGGCCCCCACAUGGGUACUGAGAUACGGACCCAACUCCUACGGGAGGCAGCAGUAGGGAAUAUUGGGCAAUGGGCGGAAGCCUGACCCAGCCAUGCCGCGUGCAGGAUGAAGGCGCUCAGCGUUGUAAACUGCUUUUAUCUGGGAAGAACGGCAGUCCUGCGGGAUUGUGUGACGGUACCAGAGGAAUAAGCACCGGCUAACUCCGUGCCAGCAGCCGCGGUAAUACGGAGGGUGCAAGCGUUGUCCGGAUUUAUUGGGUUUAAAGGGUGCGUAGGUGGUUUAGUAAGUCUGGUUUGAAAGCUGGUCGCUUAACGAUCAGAUGUGGCUGGAAACUGCUGGACUUGAAUGCGGUGGCGGUAGCUGGAACGGGUCAUGUAGCGGUGAAAUGCAUAGAUAUGACCCAGAACCCCGAUUGCGAAGGCAGGCUACUACGCCGUGAUUGACACUGAGGCACGAGAGCAUG
rnacentral:rRNA from 1 species